GGGGAUGACAGGAUUCGAUAGACGGAUCCGUUAUUCAUAUGUGCACCGAGGUUGUCUUAUCCUCGUAAAUCCUAGGACACAACGACAAUUGCAAAUAUUGUUAGUCGAGUAAAGAACGCUUUUGCUUCUGCAUUUAGCGCUCCAGCACUCGCAUCUGCAGUGGCGUAAAACCCACCGCUAUCGCACACAAGAUACUCAAUAUUGUGACCGCGGUAUCAACCUAUUGAGUGUAGGGUGAUUGCACUGUCUGUUGCAGCCACCUGAAAUAAUUACAGGCACCCGAUGUGCUAUUUUGCCAUUUUCUUAUACACGUCGGUAAACAAAAUGGCUAUGUAUGUAAGUCAUAUGUGUAACCCGCUCUAGACCCGAGUUCAAUUCUCGGCAUCUCCACAA
rnacentral:tmRNA from 1 species